rnacentral:rRNA from 1 species
UACGUAGGGGGCAAGCGUUGUCCGGAAUCAUUGGGCGUAAAGAGCGUGUAGGCGGCCAGAAAAGUCCGGUGUGAAAACUCGAGGCUCAACUUCGAGCUGUCGGUGGAAACUUUCUGGCUAGAGUCCGGAAGAGGAGAAUGGAAUUCCUGGUGUAGCGGUGAAAUGCGUAGAGAUCUGGAGGAACACCGAUGGCGAAGGCAGCCUUCUGGGCCAACACUGACGCUCAUGCACGAAAGCGUGGGGAGCAAACAGG